UACGUAGGGGGCAAGCGUUGUCCGGAUUUACUGGGCGUAAAGAGCGUGUAGGCGGCCAGGCAGGUCUGUUGUGAAAACUGGAGGCUCAACUUCCAGACGUCGACAGAAACCGCUUGGCUAGAGUCCGGAAGAGGAGAGUGGAAUUCCUGGUGUAGCGGUGAAAUGCGCAGAUAUCAGGAGGAACACCGGUGGCGAAGGCGGUUCUCUGGGCAUUAACUGACGCUGAGGAGCGAAAGCAUGGGGAGCGAACAGG
rnacentral:rRNA from 1 species